UUAUUGACAUUAGCUCAUGAAUAAGGGGCUCCCAACUCUGUGCCAGCAGGAGCGGUAAUACAGAGGCCUCAAGCGUUAUCCGGAUUCACUGGGCGUAAAGGGUGCGUAGGCGGUUAUAUUAGUCGGGUGUAAAAUCCUAGGGCUCAACCUUAGGCUCGCGUUCGAAACGGUAUAACUAGGAGUAGUGAGAGGUGAACAGAACUCACGGUGUAGGGGUGAAAUCCGUUGAUAUCGUGGGGAAUACCAAAUGCGAAGGCAGUUCACUGGCGCUUACUCGACGCUGAGGCACGAAAGCGUGGGUAGCGAACGGGAUUAGAUACCCCGGUAGUCCACGCCCUAAACGCUGUCCGCUGGCUUUAGGGAGAAUCGACCCUCCCUGAGGCGAAGGUAACCCGUUAAGCGGACCGCCUGGGUAGUACGAGCGCAAGCUUAAAACUCAAAGGAAUAGACGGGGGCUCGCACAAGCGGUGGAUCAUGAGGCUUAAUUCGUCGAUAAGCGAAAAACCUUACCCAGGCUAGAAACCAUACUGCACGCUCUCCGAAAGGAGAGAAUCCUUCGAGGGUGUAUGGCAGGUGAUGCAUGGCCGUCGUCAGUUCGUGGCUUGAGCUGUUCCCUUAAGUGGGGAAACGAACGCAACCCUCGUUGCCUGUUACAAGUGUCAGGCGAGACUGCUCCCUCACGGGAGAGGAAGGUGAGGAUGACGCCAGGUCAGCAUGUCCCUUGAUGCCUGGGGCUGCACUCGUGAUACAAUGGGAUGUACAAAGGGACGCAAUACAGUAAUGUGGAGCAAAUCCUGAUAAAACAUUCCUCAGUUCGGAUUGAGGGCUGCAACUCGCCCUCAUGAAGCCGGAAUCGCU
rnacentral:rRNA from 1 species